CUGGCCGUAGCUCAGCGGCAGAGCGCCCGGUUUGGGACCGGGUGCGCGUGGGUUCGAGUCCCACCGGCCAGA
rnacentral:tRNA from 1 species